GAUGAACGCUAGCGGCAGGCUUAAUACAUGCAAGUCGAGGGGCAGCAUGAAUGUAGCAAUACAUUUGAUGGCGACCGGCAAACGGGUGCGGAACACGUACACAACCUUCCUAUAAGUGGGGAAUAGCCCAGAGGAAUUUGGAUUAAUACCCCGUAACAUAAUGAUGUGGCAUCAUAUUAUUAUUAUAGCUACGGCGCUUAUUGAUGGGUGUGCGGCUGAUUAGAUAGUUGGCGGGGUAACGGCCCACCAAGUCUACGAUCAGUAGCUGAUGUGAGAGAAUGAUCAGCCACACGGGCACGGAGGCACGGGCCCGACUCCUACGGGAGGCAGCAGUAGGGGAUCUUCCGCAAUGGACGAAAGUCUGACGGAGCAACGCCGCGUGAGCGAAGAAGGCCUUCGGGUCGUAAAGCUCUGUUGUUAGGGAAGAACGAGUACGAGAGUAACUGCUCGUACCUUGACGGUACCUAACCAGAAAGCCACGGCUAACUACGUGCCAGCCGCCGCGGUAAAAC
rnacentral:rRNA from 1 species